rnacentral:rRNA from 1 species
GACGAACGCUGGCGGCGCGCUUAACACAUGCAAGUCGAACGGAAAGGCCUGCUUUCCCUUGUGGAUUGCGGGUACUCGAGUGGCGAACGGGUGAGUAACACGUGAGUGAUCUGCCCCCAACUUGGGUAUAAGCCUGGGAAACUGGGUCUAAUUCCCGAUAGGACUGCAGGGUGGUGCCUGUGGUGGAAAACGAUUUUCUAGUGGUUGGGGAUGAGCUCGCGGCCUAUCAGCUUGUUGGUGGGGUAAUGGCCUACCAAGGCGGCGACGGGUAGCCGGCCUGAGAGGGUGGACGGCCGCAUUGGGACUGGGAUACGGCCCAGACUCCUACGGGAGGCAGCAGUGGGGAAUAUUGCACAAUGGGCGGAAGCCUGAUGCAGCGACGCCGCGUGGGGGAUGACGGCCUUCGGGUUGUAAACUCCUUUCGACCGCGAGGAAGCCACCUGGUUGGAAGGGUGGUGACGGUAGUGGUAGAAGAAGCACCGGCUAACUACGUG